rnacentral:rRNA from 1 species
CAGUCGAACGGACUCAUAUUGAAACCUAGUGAUUUAUGAGUUAGUGGCGGACGGGUGAGUAACGCGUGGAUAACCUACCGUAUACCGGGGGAUAACACUUAGAAAUAGGUGCUAAUACCGCAUAAGCGCACGGCUCCGCAUGGGGCAGUGUGAAAAACUCCGGUGGUAUACGAUGGAUCCGCGUCUGAUUAGCUAGUUGGCGGGGUAACGGCUCACCAAGGCAGCGAUCAGUAGCCGGCCUGAGAGGGUGGACGGCCACAUUGGGACUGAGACACGGCCCAAACUCCUACGGGAGGCAGCAGUGGGGAAUAUUGCACAAUGGGGGAAACCCUGAUGCAGCGACGCCGCGUGAGUGAAGGAGUAUCUCGGUACGUAAAGCUCUAUCAGCAGGGAAGAUAAUGACGGUACCUGACCAAGAAGCCCCGGCUAACUACGUGCCAGCAGCCGCGGUAAUACGUAGGGGGCAAGCGUUAUCCGGAUUUACUGGGUGUAAAGGGAGCGUAGACGGCAGCACAAGUCUGGAGUGAAAUCCCGGGGCUUAACCCCGGAACUGCUUUGGAAACUGUGCGGCUGGAGUGCAGGAGGGGUAAGCGGAAUUCCUAGUGUAGCGGUGAAAUGCGUAGAUAUUAGGAGGAACACCGGUGGCGAAGGCGGCUUACUGGACUGUAACUGACGUUGAGGCUCGAAAGCGUGGGGAGCAAACAGGAUUAGAUACCCUGGUAGUCCACGCCGUAAACGAUGAUUACUAGGUGUCGGGGGACCAAGGUCCUCCGGUGCCGGCGCAAACGCAUU